rnacentral:tRNA from 1 species
GGAGAGGUACCCAAGUGGCUGAAGGGGACGGUUUGCUAAAUCGUUAGAGGGGCGCGAGUCCCUGCGAGGGUUCGAAUCCCUCUCUCUCCGCCA